CUUGUUUACCAUUUACGCUGUGCGGUAUUGCUUGUGUUUUUGUUAAUUCGAAAAGGUCGUACAAGUGAUUGAAGAGUUGGAAAUUCGUUUUUUACUUAGUUCUACGUUUUAAAAACUAUUAUUUGUGUGUAUUAUAUAUGUGGAGAAUAGUGAACAAAGACAAUAUUAUUGUUUAAGGCAAAAUAAUCUUGUGAGACUUUCAAGGUGCAUGUAGUAUAUGUCCAAAAAUCAAAAUGCCUGGUACACGUUGUGCUGUGUAUGGUUGUGGUAAUACCUAUAAAACAAGGCAGCAAGAACAUGAAUAUUUUAUAUUUCAUCGGUUUCCCAAAGCUAAAGAUCUUGUUUCCCAAACUAUGAGAAAAGAAUGGAUAUUACGAUGCAAACGAGAAGAUAAAUUUAACCCUGAUACUAGCUACAUCUGCUCAGUUCAUUUCACAGAAAAGGAUUAUGAAAGAGACUUAUAGAAUGAAUUAUUAGGUUUACCACUACGAAAAAUAUUGAAAAAAACCGCUGUUCCUACUUUGGGAUUGUAUUCAAAAAAAUCAACAAGUGAAGCUAGUAGUUCAAGCAUCAGUUCCAGAGAAGAAAGACUGGCCAAACGAAAUGCAAAGGAGGAAGUGAACAAACUUAUAUAAAAUAAUUCAUUUUCUUUAAUUUCUUUUCUUCAUUGUAUACCUAUUAUAAAUGGAACUUAAAAUUAACUGAAUAAUUGGAAAUUGGAUUUUAAAUUAAUAUUAAUUCAUAAUAAUGAAUAAAACUUAAAAAAAUAACUGUAUUUUUGUUAAAAUUGGCCUUUAAACUCAUCAAAUAGUCUAGCUCAACAAAGAGUUAAGACCGGUCGAGGUCUGCAGGUGACGUCACGUAUGGCGAUUUUUCGCACGCACAUGGCAGACACAUUCAGUUUAUUGAGCAAUCCUAUUGGUGAACUA